rnacentral:rRNA from 1 species
CGUGGCGGCGCUACCAUGCAAGUCGAGCGGAAACGAGUUAUCUGAACCUUCGGGGAACGAUAACGGCGUCGAGCGGCGGACGGGUGAGUAAUGCCUAGGAAAUUGCCCUGAUGUGGGGGAUAACCAUUGGAAACGAUGGCUAAUACCGCAUGAUGCCUACGGGCCAAAGAGGGGGACCUUCGGGCCUCUCGCGUCAGGAUAUGCCUAGGUGGGAUUAGCUAGUUGGUGAGGUAAGGGCUCACCAAGGCGACGAUCCCUAGCUGGUCUGAGAGGAUGAUCAGCCACACUGGAACUGAGACACGGUCCAGACUCCUACGGGAGGCAGCAGUGGGGAAUAUUGCACAAUGGGCGCAAGCCUGAUGCAGCCAUGCCGCGUGUGUGAAGAAGGCCUUCGGGUUGUAAAGCACUUUCAGUCGUGAGGAAGGUGGUAACGUUAAUAGCGCUAUCAUUUGACGUUAGCGACAGAAGAAGCACCGGCUAACUCCGUGCCAGCAGCCGCGGUAAUACGGAGGGUGCGAGCGUUAAUCGGAAUUACUGGGCGUAAAGCGCAUGCAGGUGGUUUGUUAAGUCAGAUGUGAAAGCCCGGGGCUCAACCUCGGAAUAGCAUUUGAAACUGGCAGACUAGAGUACUGUAGAGGGGGGUAGAAUUUCAGGUGUAGCGGUGAAAUGCGUAGAGAUCUGAAGGAAUACCGGUGGCGAAGGCGGCCCCCUGGACAGAUACUGACACUCAGAUGCGAAAGCGUGGGGAGCAAACAGGAUUAGAUACCCUGGUAGUCCACGCCGUAAACGAUGUCUACUUGGAGGUUGUGGCCUUGAGCCGUGGCUUUCGGAGCUAACGCGUUAAGUAGACCGCCUGGGGAGUACGGUCGCAAGAUUAAAACUCAAAUGAAUUGACGGGGGCCCGCACAAGCGGUGGAGCAUGUGGUUUAAUUCGAUGCAACGCGAAGAACCUUACCUACUCUUGACAUCCAGAGAACUUUCCAGAGAUGGAUUGGUGCCUUCGGGAACUCUGAGACAGGUGCUGCAUGGCUGUCGUCAGCUCGGGUUGGGAAAUGUUGGGUUAGUCCCGAACGAGGCAACCUUAUCCUUGUUUGCACCAGGAAUGUCGGGAACCCCGGGAAAUGCCGGUGAAAACCGAGAAAGGGGGGA